GGAGGAAAAGAAACCAACAGGGAUUGCCUCAGUAACGGCGAGUGAAGCGGCAAAAGCUCAAAUUUGAAAUCCCCCGGGAAUUGUAAUUUGAAGGACCUAUUAAAACCCUGAGAGAGCCCAAAGUCCAUUGGAAAAUGGCGCCAUAGAAGGUGAUAGCCCUGUGUGGACCUCUCUCAGCAUACUUUUUAGGCCCAAAGAGUCGAGUUGUUUGGGAAUGCAGCUCUAAGUGGGUGGUAAAUUCCAUCUAAAGCUAAAUAUUGGCGAGAGACCGAUAGCGAACAAGUACAGUGAUGGAAAGAUGAAAAGCACUUUGAAAAGAGAGUGAAAAAGUACGUGAAAUUGUUGAAAGGGAAGGGCUUGCAAGCAGACACAACCUCGGUUGGGCCAGCAUCGGGGCGGGGGGAAACAAAAAAGGUGUGGAAUGUGGCUCUUACGAGUGUUAUAGCCCCACCCAAUAUUUCCAUCCCAUCCCGAGGCCUGCGAUUCUUCAAGGAUGCUGGCGUAAUGGUUGCAAGUCGCCCGUC
rnacentral:rRNA from 1 species